GGAGUAAAAGUCGUAACAAGGUUUCCGUAGGUGAACCUGCGGAAGGAUCAUUCAUAAUAAGUGUUUUAUGGCACUUUUUUAAAUCCAUAUCCACCUUGUGUGCAAUGUCAGGGUUGGUCCCUUUUUGAUCAGCCCCAAACAUCAACUAUUAUCUCAACUCUUUGUCUGAAAAAUAUUAUGAAUAAAACAAUUCAAAAUACAACUUUCAACAACGGAUCUCUUGGCUCUC
rnacentral:misc_RNA from 1 species